rnacentral:rRNA from 1 species
AUGAACGCUGGCGGCGUGCCUAAUACAUGCAAGUCGAGCGAACAGACGAGGAGCUUGCUCCUCUGACGUUAGCGGCGGACGGGUGAGUAACACGUGGAUAACCUACCUAUAAGACUGGGAUAACUUCGGGAAACCGGAGCUAAUACCGGAUAAUAUAUUGAACCGCAUGGUUCAAUAGUGAAAGACGGUUUUGCUGUCACUUAUAGAUGGAUCCGCGCCGCAUUAGCUAGUUGGUAAGGUAACGGCUUACCAAGGCAACGAUGCGUAGCCGACCUGAGAGGGUGAUCGGCCACACUCGAACUGAGACACGGUCCAGACUCCUACGGGAGGCAGCAGUAGGGAAUCUUCCGCAAUGGGCGAAAGCCUGACGGAGCAACGCCGCGUGAGUGAUGAAGGUCUUCGGAUCGUAAAACUCUGUUAUUAGGGAAGAACAAAUGUGUAAGUAACUAUGCACGUCUUGACGGUACCUAAUCAGAAAGCCACGGCUAACUACGUG